CAUUCCUGGCUUUAGUGUUCCUUGCUAACAUUUCUCUCUUGAAAGCAUAUCUUAUGCAGUUACUCUGUUUAUUUCCAAUCUCCUGCGUAAGAAUGUAGCUUCCUGAGGGCAAAGAUUUGGGUAUCUUUUGUUCACUGCUGUGACCUCGCUGUCCAGAGGAGUUAGGUCUAGCCCUCAGUAGACAGUCGGUAAAAGUUAAGUGACUUCAUGAAAGCGUCUUCUUCACAGCAGUACCCACAUUCUGUAUUGUGGUGUCAACACUGGCUCACUUUGAAAUGACUGGCCUCUAAUGUAGAGACAACCCAACCUUCAACACAGUCACUGCCCGACUCUUCAAAAGCCCUGUAACCACUGAGGAAAAUCCACAUUUUGGCUCUCACCGCGUCUAGGAUGCCUUCCCCGGAUGCUGCCACUUAUCCCUUGUCUCCCGCAAGCAGCCCAGUGCUGGCACUUUGUAGGUGUUUAUCGAGUCCCUGUGGCACUUACCUCUGGAAAUCCACAUCUGGCAUUUGAUGCUAUGCUGAAAUCAGCAAAUGCAGUCACAGACCAGCGCCAUGAUCUAACCAACCCAUUUUUCAGACAGGACGAU
rnacentral:lncRNA from 1 species